rnacentral:lncRNA from 1 species
GAGAAACAACAUGGUGGUCAGAUGGAGAAACAACAUGGUGGUCAGAUGGAGAAACAACAUGGGGGUCAGAUGGAGCAGAAACAAACAUGGUGGUCAGAUGGAGCAGAAACAACAUGGGGGCAGAUAGAGAAACAACAUGGUGGUCAGA